AUACUUACCUGUCAAGGGAGAUACCAUGAUCACGAAGGUGGUUUUCCCAGGACAAGGCUUAUCCAUUGCAUUCCAGAUGUGCUGACCCCUACGAUUUCCCCAAAUGUGGAAAAUUGGACUGCAUAAUUUGCGGUAGUGGGGGACUGCAUUCACACUCUCCCCUG
rnacentral:snRNA from 1 species